rnacentral:lncRNA from 1 species
AGAGAAUUCCACGAUGGCGACCUAAUGCUGAAGAAGAUCCUCACUCUACAAAAAAUAUAACGGAUACCAAGUUGGGAAGAACUUUAUGUUAUAGAGAAGGUCUUUUCCAAAUGAGCUUUGAUUGUGAGUGAGAUGGAUGGUAAACCUGCAAAGUCUUGUAAACUCAGGUUCAGUCAGGAAAUACUCCGCUUAAAGAAGGAGAUAACCAAGGUAAAAACCCACAAAGGGCAGUUUGAGUCCCAAAAAAAAAGAAAAAAGAAGUGAUGUGAAAAAAUGAAAAGAUGAAAAUGAAAAAUGAAAAAUGAAAAAGUAAAAAUGGAGAGGCUAAGGUGAAA